rnacentral:rRNA from 1 species
UCGAGCGGAUCCUGAUGGAGCUUGCGNGCACUACACUAGAAGGUGGCGCGAGCGGAGAGUGAGUAACACGUAGGUGCCUGCCCUCAAGACAGGGACCCGACAAGAAACGGUAACUAAGACCGGAAAUUUAUCUUGCAGCUUUGUGGAAUAAUGAAAGGCGGACCAUUCUGUCACUUGAGGAUGGGCCUGCGGCGCGCUGCUAGGUGGUGGGGUAACGGCCACCAAGGCGA